UACGUAGGGGGCAAGCGUUGUCCGGAUUUAUUGGGCGUAAAGCGCGUGUAGGCGGCCAUCUAAGUCGGGCGUGAAAUCCCACGGCUCAACCGUGGAAGUGCACUCGAGACUGGAUGGCUAGAGUCCUGGAGAGGAAGGUGGAAUGCUUGGUGUAGAGGUGAAAUUCGUAGAUAUCAAGCGGAACACCGGUGGCGAAGGCGGCCUUCUGGACAGUGACUGACGCUGAGACGCGAAAGCGUGGGGAGCAAACAGG
rnacentral:rRNA from 1 species